rnacentral:lncRNA from 1 species
AUAAUAUUCAAUUUAAAAGCAGUGGAUCAUGCAUGAUUUCUCCCCCUUAAAACAAUAAGGUAUCGACAAAGUUAAAAUAGAUACCUGUGAAGUAUCUCCCCCUUAAUGAUAGGACAUAUCUAAUUUGUGGAGAAAAUAAAACUUCAUACCUUAUUGAGCUUUGAUCACAAAUUCGAUUUGUGUGGUUGACCAAAUGUGACGUCUUGCUUAUAAGAGUGUUAGUUAAUCAUAUAGGAGAAAUAACAUGUAAUUUAUGCUCAUUGAUAAAAUAUU